rnacentral:rRNA from 1 species
CCUACGGGAGGCAGCAGUGGGGAAUAUUGGGCAAUGGGCGCAAGCCUGACCCAGCCACGCCGCGUGAAGGAAGAAGGCUCUCGGGUUGUUAACUUCUUUUGACACGGAAGAGUAGAAGACGGUACCUGUCGAAUAAGCCACGGCUAACUACGUGCCAGCAGCCGCGGUCAUACGUGGGUGGCAAGCGUUAUCCGGAUUUACUGGGUGUAAAGGGCGUGUAGCCGGGUUGACAAGUCAGAGGUGAAAUCCUGCGGCUUAACCGCAGAACUGCAGUUGAAACUGUUGAUCUUGAGUACUGGAGAGGCAGACGGAAUUCCUAGUGUAGCGGUGAAAUGUGUAGAGAUUAGGAGGAACACCAGUGGCGAAGGCAGUCUGCUGGACAGCAACUGACGGUGAGGCGCGAAAGCGUGGGGAGCGAACAGGAUUAGAUACCCGAGUAGUC